rnacentral:rRNA from 1 species
UACGUAGGGUGCAAGCGUUGUCCGGAAUUAUUGGGCGUAAAGAGCUCGUAGGCGGUUCGUCGCGUCGGCUGUGAAAACCCGGAGCUCAACUCCGGGCCUGCAGUCGAUACGGGCGGACUAGAGUUCGGCAGGGGAGACUGGAAUUCCUGGUGUAGCGGUGAAAUGCGCAGAUAUCAGGAGGAACACCGGUGGCGAAGGCGGGUCUCUGGGCAGUAACUGACGCUGAGGAGCGAAAGCGUGGGGAGCGAACAGG